rnacentral:rRNA from 1 species
CAGGCCUAACACAUGCAAGUCGAACGGUAACAGGUCUUCGGAUGCUGACGAGUGGCGAACGGGUGAGUAAUACAUCGGAACGUGCCCGAUCGUGGGGGAUAACGAGGCGAAAGCUUUGCUAAUACCGCAUACGAUCUACGGAUGAAAGCGGGGGAUCUUCGGACCUCGCGCGGACGGAGCGGCCGAUGGCAGAUUAGGUAGUUGGUGGGAUAAAAGCUUACCAAGCCGACGAUCUGUAGCUGGUCUGAGAGGAUGAUCAGCCACACUGGGACUGAGACACGGCCCAGACUCCUACGGGAGGCAGCAGUGGGGAAUUUUGGACAAUGGGCGAAAGCCUGAUCCAGCCAUGCCGCGUGCAGGAUGAAGGCCUUCGGGUUGUAAACUGCUUUUGUACGGAACGAAAAGCCUCUUUCUAAUAAAGAGGGGUCAUGACGGUACCGUAAGAAUAAGCACCGGCUAACUACGUGCCAGCAGCCGCGGUAAUACGUAGGGUGCAAGCGUUAAUCGGAAUUACUGGGCGUAAAGCGUGCGCAGGCGGUUUUGUAAGACAGAGGUGAAACCCCCGGGCUCAACCUGGGAACUGCCUUUGUGACUGCAAGGCUGGAGUGCGGCAGAGGGGGAUGGAAUUCCGCGUGUAGCAGUGAAAUGC